rfam:Loxodonta africana unplaced genomic scaffold scaffold_14, whole genome shotgun sequence.
GGUAGCAUGGCUGAAUGGUCUAAGGUGCUAGAUUAAGGCUCCAGUCUCUGCAGGGGGGGCGUGGGUUCGAAUCCCACUGUUGCCA